rnacentral:lncRNA from 1 species
CUACGGGACAAGGCAAAAGGGUUUGAAACAUCAAAGGGCCUUGUAUAGGAGUUCACCACCCAACAAACCCCACACCUUGGAGUUUACGGCCGUAAACUCAUGGGUUUAUGGCCGUGAACUCCUCAAAUGGUGUUUUUGGGUGUUUUGUGGUGCUAUCUUGAUCCUAGAACACUCCUAGCUUUAUUGGAAUAACACAUGAAGUAGUUUAAGGCUUUAGAACACUCCAUAAGGGAGUUUACGGCCUAAGGUCCUUCAUCCUAGAGUUUACGGCCGUAAACUCUUGGAAUUUAAUUGUUUUGAGGCUCUUAAACAUCAAGGAUUGCUUCCAUGAAUUUAUCUAAGGCUAAUGGGGGCAAGAGACACACUUUGGUGCCUUCACUUGGAGUUUACGGCCCAAGUCAUGUUCCUUGGCCGUAAACUCCUUUCAAGGAGUGAUUUCUAUGUGUUCUACUCUCCAUUCUAGUCCCAAGGGUGCAAGGUAAAUUGUCUAAAGGCUUAAGGGUUGCUUGGAAUGAUUUUUGUCCCACAAAAAGGGGUUUACGGCCCAAGAAAGGUUCUUGGCCGUAAACUCCUAGAAACUUAUGGUUUUUAUGGGCUUUUGAUGUUCUAAACAAGCACAAGUACUAGUAGUUAAAGUCCUUAAGCAUUUGGGGAAAGUUUUAGGGCUUUUAAGCCCUUGAAAAGGGGUUUACGGCCCAAGGGAGUUCCUUGGCCGUAAACUCCUAGAACUUGUGUUUCUGGGAUGCUUUUUGGCCUAUAAAGAUCAUAUCCUAACUCCUAAACAAGUUGUCUAACAAGGAAUCGGGACUAGGAAGUCAUAAUGUUCCAUUUUGGAGUUUACUCCCCAAGAACGUUCUUGGGCGGUAAACUCCCGGAUCUUGAUAUCUAGACAUGCAAUUGAUGUUAAUAAACACCAAACAAGUAUUGAAUCACAUAUAGAAAAGUAGACUCACAAUCUGGGAUGAAAACCCGAAGAUCCGUCAGAGAGAAUAUGGCUUUUCUCUAAUUGGAAUUGUGAAUAAUGAAUUAAUUUCAUUCAAAAACUAUUUAUAGUCCUGGAAUAUUUUGGCAGAAAAUAUUUUUUAUUCUUGAUGUUGGACUGUAACAGUAUGAAACCUGAAAUGACCAAAUUUCACAAGACCAGAAGCAUCCACUCUCCUGAUAUCAUCUAAAACAUAAACCCUAAUGUACACAAACUUGUUCGGAAAAGCUUGAAAAUCACUAUUCUAGUCCCAAAGGUGUAAGGUAAAUUGUCUAAAGGCUUAAGGGUUGCUUGGAAUGAUUUUUGUCCCACAAAAAGGGGUUUACGGCCCAAGAAGGGUUCUUGGCCGUAAACUCCUAGAAACUUAUGGUUUUUAUGGGCUUUUGAUGUUCUAAACAAGCACAAGUACUAGUAGUUAAAGUCCUUAAGCAUUUGGGGAAAGUUUUAGGGCAUUUAAGCCCUUGAAAAGGGGUUUACGGCCCAAGGGAGUUCCUUGGCCGUAAACUCCUAGAACUUGUGUUUCUGGGAUGCUUUUUGGCCUAUAAAGAUCAUAUCCUAACUCCUAAACAAGUUGUCUAACAAGGAAUCGGGACUAGGAAGUCAUAAUGUUCCAUUUUGGAGUUUACUCCCCA